rnacentral:rRNA from 1 species
ACUCAAAGGAAUUGACGGAAGUUUGAACAAGCGGUGGAGCAUCUGGUUUAAUGCGAUAUAACGCGCAAAACCUUACCAGUUUUUGAAUAUUUUUUGUAUCUUUUAUAGAGAAAGAUGCAUAAAAUUUUAUGAUUUUUGAAAUUUUAUGUGAAAAUACAGGUGCUGCAUGGCUGUCGUAAGCUCGUGUAGUGAUAUGUUUGGUUAACUCCGUUAACGAGCGCAACCCUCGCUUUUAGUUAUUUUUUAAAAGGACUGCCUGUGCGAUGCAGGAGGAAGGUGAGGAUGAUGUCAAGUCAGUAUGGCCUUAAUAGACUGGGCUACACAGGUGCUACAAUGGUGAAAACAAAGGGUAGCAAGAACGUAAGUUGGCGCAAAUCUCAAAAAACUCAUCUCAGUUCGGAUUGUCCUCUGCAACUCGAGGGCAUGAAGGCGGAAUCGCUAGUAAUCGUAGAACAGCAUGCUACGGUGAAUCUGUGACCAAACUUAGUACACACCGCCCGU